GGAGGUAGUGACAAUAAAUCACAAUGCGGGACUAUCAGUCUUGCAAUUGGAUUGAGAACAAUGUACAACUCUUAUCGAUAAGCCAUUGGAGGGCAAGUCUGGUGCCAGCAGCCGCGGUAAUUCCAGCUCCAAUAGCGUAUAUUAACGUUGUUGCAGUUAAAAAGCUCGUAGUUGAAGUGUGGGUGAUCGCUGUUGUGAGACUUCGGUCUCUCGACAGUAAGUCACCCCCUUCCAGUAUCCAGUAGUGGGUAUUCACUUACUUACUAUUGUGUGUUGGUCAUUUACUGUGAGAAAAUUAGAGUGUUCAAAGCAGGCGUUUGCUUGAAUAGAUUAGCAUGGAAUAAUAAUUGAAGGCUUUCGUGUUCGAUUUGAUUGGUUUGUUCAUGGAAGCAAGGUUAAAAGGAACAGUUGGGGGUAUUCAUAUUCACUAGUUAGAGGUGAAAUUCUCGGAUUUAUGGAAGAUGAACAAGUGCGAAAGCA
rnacentral:rRNA from 1 species